rnacentral:rRNA from 1 species
GAGUUUGAUCCUGGCUCAGGAUGAACGCUGGCGGCGUGCUUAACACAUGCAAGUCGAACGAACCUUCGGGUUAGUGGCGGACGGGUGAGUAACGCGUGGGAAUCUGCCCUCAGGAGGGGGAUAACGGCCGGAAACGGCCGCUAAUACCCCAUAUGCCGAGAGGUGAAAUGAAUUUCGCCUGAGGAUGAGCCCGCGUCUGAUUAGCUAGUUGGUGAGGUAAGAGCUCACCAAGGCAUCGAUCAGUAGCUGGUCUGAGAGGAUGAUCAGCCACACUGGGACUGAGACACGGCCCAGACUCCUACGGGAGGCAGCAGUGGGGAAUUUUCCGCAAUGGGCGAAAGCCUGACGGAGCAACGCCGCGUGAGGGAUGAAGGCCUCUGGGCUGUAAACCUCUUUUAUCAAGGAAGAAGAUCUGACGGUACUUGAUGAAUAAGCCACGGCUAAUUCCGUGCCAGCAGCCGCGGUAAUACGGGAGUGGCAAGCGUUAUCCGGAAUUAUUGGGCGUAAAGCGUCCGCAGGCGGCCCUACAAGUCUGCUGUUAAAAAGUGGAGCUUAACUCCAUCAUGGCAGUGGAAACUGUUGGGCUCGAGUGUGGUAGGGGCAGAGGGAAUUCCCGGUGUAGCGGUGAAAUGCGUAGAUAUCGGGAAGAACACCAGUGGCGAAGGCGCUCUGCUGGGCCAUCACUGACGCUCAUGGACGAAAGCCAGGGGAGCGAAAGGGAUUAGAUACCCCUGUAGUCCUGGCCGUAAACGAUGAACACUAGGUGUCGGGGGAAUCGACCCCCUCGGUGUCGUAGCCAACGCGUUAAGUGUUCCGCCUGGGGAGUACGCACGCAAGUGUGAAACUCAAAGGAAUUGACGGGGGCCCGCACAAGCGGUGGAGUAUGUGGUUUAAUUCGAUGCAACGCGAAGAACCUUACCAGGGUUUGACAUCCUGCGAAUCUCUUGGAAACGAGAGAGUGCCUUCGGGAGCGCAGUGACAGGUGGUGCAUGGCUGUCGUCAGCUCGUGUCGUGAGAUGUUGGGUUAAGUCCCGCAACGAGCGCAACCCACGUCUUUAGUUGCCAGCAUUUAGUUGGGCCCUCUAGAGAGACCGCCGGUGAUAAACCGGAGGAAGGUGUGGAUGACGUCAAGUCAUCAUGCCCCUUACAUCCUGGGCUACACACGUACUACAAUGCUACGGACAAAGGGCAGCAAGUUCGCGAGGACAAGCAAAUCCCAUAAACCGUGGCUCAGUUCAGAUCGUAGGCUGCAACUCGCCUACGUGAAGGAGGAAUCGCUAGUAAUCGCAGGUCAGCAUACUGCGGUGAAUACGUUCCCGGGCCUUGUACACACCGCCCGUCACACCAUGGAAGUUGGCCACGCCCGAAGCCGUUACUCCAACCCUUGUGGAGGAGGACGUCGAAGGUGGGGCUGAUGACUGGGGUGAAGUCGUAACAAGGUAACC